AAUAAUGACUGUUUUAAAGUCUGCUGGAGUGUGGCUGUGCCUCUAUUAAAUCUGGGAGCUGAUAAUCCGCCGAGUUCAUUACCAUGUUGGGGAGAAAAGCGGCCGCUCGGCGGGACGUGGGGACGGGGUGCGGGUCCCCGUGCCGGUGCGCGCCGUGGGCACGGCCGUGCUGGCACGGGGGCACAGGGGACAGCCCCCACGGGUGCCCUGGGGCAGCUGCAGCACCGCAGCGGGCACCUGGGUUCCCUGCACUGCCCCCAUCUGUGCCAGGGCCAGGAGUGUGGAUUUGGGGAGCCCCCCGAGGGGCAGGGCAGGGGGCGCAGAGGUGGCCGCUCUUGGUGCGUUUGCGCAGCGCCUCCACGGUCCCUGGGGACCUUCAGGGCCGGCCAGCUCGGAGGUGCUGCGUGCCUGCUGCGUGCCAGGGAGGUGCCAGGCACUUUACAUAACUUGGCAAGCAGCAGCAGCACCGCGGGCGAUGGAGCCCCUCCCGCACACCCAGCGCAGAGCCGCUCGCCCAGGCACCGCCACGGGGGUGGCAGCGGCCUCCCCCUGCGCCCAGGCAGCAGCGCCCACCUCCAGGGUGGCUCCCUCCUCCUGCUCACACCUCCAGCCCGCACAUCUCCAGUCCUUGCACUUCCAGAUUUUGCACCUAAAGUCCUUGCACCUCCAGCCCUUGCACCUCCAGAUCUCACACCUUCAGACUUUGCACCUCCAGCCCUCACAUCUCCAGCCCUUGUACUUCCAGCCCUUGUACUACCAGAUUUUGCACCUCCAGCCCUUGCAUUUCCAGUCUUUGCACCUCCAGCUCUUGCACUCCCAGCCCUUGCAACUCCAGCCCUUGCACCUCCAACCCUUGCAGCUCCAGCCCUUGUACCUUCAGCCCUUGCACCUCCAGCCCUCACACUUACAGCCCUUGCACUCCCAGCCCUUGCACCUCUAGCCCUUGCACCUUCAGACCUUGCACUCCAGCCUUUGCACAUCCAGCCCUUGUACCUCCAGACCUCACACCUCCAGCCCUUGCACCUCCAGCCCUUGUACUUCCAGAUUCUGCACCUCCAGCCCUUGCACUCCAGCCCUCGCACCUCCAGAUCUCACACUUCCAGCCCUUGCACCUCCAGCCCUUGUACUUCCACAUUUUGCACCUCCAGCACUUGUACUUCCAGACUUUGCACCUCCAGCCCUUGCACCUCCAGCCCUUGCACCUCCAGCCCUUGUACAUCCAGCCCUUGCACAUCCAGCCCUUGCACAUCCAGCCCUUGUACCUCCAGCCCUUGUACAUCCAGUCCUUGCACCUCCAGACCUCACACCUCCAGCCCUUGCACUCCCAGCCCUUGUACUUCCAGAUUUUGCACCUCCAGUCCUUGCACAUCCA
rnacentral:lncRNA from 1 species